rnacentral:rRNA from 1 species
AGCCUGACCCAGCGACGCCGCGUGAGGGAAGACAGCCUUCGGGUUGUAAACCUCUGUUGCAGGGGAAGAAGGAAGCGACGGUACCCUGCGAGGAAGCUCCGGCUAACUACGUGCCAGCAGCCGCGGUAAUACGUAGGGAGCGAGCGUUGUCCGGAAUUACUGGGCGUAAAGGGCGCGUAGGCGGCGCUUCAAGUCGUCUGUCAAAAGCCGAGGCUCAACCUCGGCGCGCAGACGAAACUGGAGAGCUUGAGAAGCAGAGAGGCAAACAGAAUUCCUGGUGUAGCGGUGAAAUGCGUAGAUAUCAGGAAGAAUACCAGUGGCGAAGGCGGUUUGCUGGCUGCAUACUGACGCUGAAGCGCGAAAGCCAGGGGAGCAAACGGGAUUAGAUACCCCGGUAGUCCUGGCAGUAAACGAUGUAUGCUGGGUGUGGGACUAGCGAUAGUUCCGUGCCGAAGUUAACGCGAUAAGCAUACCGCCUGGGGAGUACGGUCGCAAGAUUGGAACUCAAAGGAAUUGACGGGGGCCCGCACAAGCGGUGGAGCACGUGGUUUAAUUCGAUGCAAACCGAAGAACCUUACCUGGACUUGACAUCCACGCGGUAGAGAAGCGAAAGCGGAUCGACCCUU